rnacentral:lncRNA from 1 species
AUGACAUAUGAUGCUAAGCAGAUUGGGUCAAAUCCUGUGGGGCAGCUGAACUGCUCUUUAAUAAUUCCCUCUGGAAACAAACUGUCCCAGGGUGUGGUGAUAUUCCUUGUCAGCCAGAAGAACAGUGCCAGCAUGAGCAGCCACCUAACACUGUUGGAACUAGUAAAGAGCUGUGUUUUCUCCACUCCUUAUAUGACCUGCAAAACUGUGUGAAAGAUCAGCAUAAAGAACAAAACCAGUUUCAUAUGGCUUCUGUAGUGAAUGAGCUGGAGUGAGUCAGUAAAGAUAGACUGUUUUGAUUACUACAAACUGUAUUGACAUACUGCAAUGUGGAGAGCUUGGUUAGUUUGGGUUCAAAGACUCCUGGAACUUUUAAAGGUAAGAAAGGAUGUAAUUUGGAAGAAGUAUUACUGCUUUUGACUGGCAUCCAGUUUGGAC